AACGAACGCUGGCGGCAUGCCUAACACAUGCAAGUCGAACGAAGCCUUCGGGCUUAGUGGCGCACGGGUGCGUAACACGUGAGAAUCUGCCCUUCGGUUCGGAAUAACAGUUAGAAAUGACUGCUAAUACCGGAUGAUGACGUAAGUCCAAAGAUUUAUCGCCGAAGGAUGAGCCCGCGUAGGAUUAGGUAGUUGGUAGGGUAAUGGCCUACCAAGCCGACGAUCCUUAGCUGGUCUGAGAGGAUGAUCAGCCACACUGGGACUGAGACACGGCCCAGACUCCUACGGGAGGCAGCAGUGGGGAAUAUUGGACAAUGGGCGAAAGCCUGAUCCAGCAAUGCCGCGUGAGUGAUGAAGGCCUUAGGGUUGUAAAGCUCUUUUACCAGGGAUGAUAAUGACAGUACCUGGAGAAUAAGCUCCGGCUAACUCCGUGCCAGCAGCCGCGGUAAAGU
rnacentral:rRNA from 1 species